GAUAGUUUACAUGAUUUUGAACCAAACUGCAUUAUUACCUCAAAAUUGACGAAAUUACAUAUGGGACGGACUAGCUUCGAGCGUAGAUGUAAAAUUAGACAAUAGUUAAUAAAUAGAGACAAGAAACAGGCUUUGUUGCCGCUGAAAUUGCCGAUGUGCUUACGAACUCGAAGAUCUUAACGUAGGGUUAGGCGAUGGUGAGCAACGGUCUAUAUCUAGGUGAGCGAUAGCGAAUAAGAAGAGUUAACGCACAAGAAUAGUAGGCGAGUAAUUUGAUAUUCUGUUUAAUCUCAGUUAAAGCCGACUUAUUCUGAGAUGUCCAAUCAGGAUAGUGCAUUUGAAUUGUAGAAAAGUCAGUGAAAAGAAUUCAUGAGUAAGUUGGUGGGCGUAAACUGCAGGAGGAAAAAUUAAGAAUUAUUUGUUACAGUUUCGCAACGCACCAAAUUGCUGCUCUAAGUUGGGAAUGAAGUUGGGUUAGGAAACCUAUUUUGUGAGUAAAAUUAUAUCUAGUUUAACCAAAUUACUAAUAUUUAAUAAACAGCUUUUAGCAAUUAAGAUCACUAAAAUGAACGGUGUUUCUUGUUCGCUGAAAAGACGGCAAAUCCAGCCCUCCCCCAACGUCAACACUAAAAGAAAAUAGUUCCGAUCAAGAUGCCGAUCGCGAACAGCCGGGAACUUCCCUGCCGGAGAUGCGGUACACCGGAUGUGUACACGAUGUGGAGCUACUGUCGAUGCCGGUCGGGGUUGCCCGACGCAAACGCUACCAGGAACGCCAGUUUGCCAAGCGGUUCUACCAAAAUUAGCCACCAGUAUCGCCAAGAAUGCAGGGAAGUUUACGCGGCACGACUUCAACAAUUACGCCAGGAUCAACUUGCUGCCCAGGAGGCGUUGGCCACGAAGCAGCGAGAAUGGCUUGAGAUACAGGCGCGGAUUAAACGGGACUACCAAAUCGCCAAAGCGGAGCUGCAGCAGAAGGUAGAGGAGUGUGAAAACUCCUUUCGAUUACGGGAAGAGCAGAUUAUGAGUUCGGGACGUUUUGAGGUUAGAGGCACGAUUACACAGCAGAGUGCGGAGAAUAAGAAGGAGGAUGAGCAGCAUCGGGUACUAUUUUGUGAGUCUUCCAACUCGACGGUGGAGGCAACGAAGACAACAGUACAAUCGGGUCAGGACAACCCAAUCGGUUCGACAUCUGGAGUAGGUGCCGGGGUGGAUAGCAACAAGCCAUCAGCCGGCAAAUCCACUUCAGUAAGGACGUUUGCUGGUGUGUCCCGAAAUGACGCGGAUUGGAUGUCAUCGUUGGGAGAAACUACAUGUCGAGGCUGGGAAGCAGCAAAAACUGCCGUCAGCUCACUACCGUUCACACUCACACCUACUGUACAAACGUGUGUAAACGACAACAACACUCACAAAUCUAUCAGUAGUUCUUGUAUUUUUGUAAACGAGCCCAGUUUGUCGAGAAACAAAAGAUCUGCGAGCAAAACAAACGUCGUUGAGAGUUGUUUACAAGAUGUGGCAGCACAGCUGGAGGUGGAAUUCGGCGGGUUGGUGUCGUCGAAGAAACUCAUUCAGGAUCAGCUGAUGGUGAAUCGGGAAUCUGGACAGCAGAAACUCAGUUAUCAACAGGAGCAGCGAUCGAUUCCAGAACGAGCGUUUCAGGACCGGGACACGCAGCGUUUGCCGGAACGACGAAACCAACAAGUACCACCUCUGCAAGAUACUGGAUCGCCGCUUGUCGUUUGUUCGAUGACGCAGCGAGGGCGACUAAACCCGAAGGGCAAGUCUCACGAUGAGCCAAUGUUCAUCUGCACGUCUAUCACCAUCGGUCGAUGGAAUGAAUAUUCCGGUGCAGAGAAUUUUGAGAAAGAGAGAAAGCUGGUUGGACAACCAGGGCAGAAUGAACGCCGAAUGAGUUCAUCAAUGCAGCAGAAGGGGAUGUGCGGAGUCUCGGCGACAUGGCAUGAACAACUUGACAAACUGUUCGUACUGAAAAUCGUGUUGCCGAAUUCCGAAACAUGGGAUAAAAGUAUGUUUAUCCAUGGUACAAAGUGGUUCAGCGGUGUGACAGCUGGCAGAAUGAUGUUCCCACUGCAGCUGCAAGAAGGUGAUCGCAACAACCCAGGAUACACGAAAGCCAUCAAUCAACAGUACUCACGGAAGUCGCAGUCGGUCGUGGAAGCGGUUGUGGUGCCAGAGGUACAGCAUGAGAUAGUGCGUUUGUGGUUCAACAAGAAUGUUGACAGGAAUCAAGUAGGAGUACCGAUGACUGCUGUUUCACACUCGACUGCAAAGAUCGGAGAUGGUGAGCUGGGACGGUCUGGAUCGUACCGUAGCAGAACUUUGCUGGGUCAGUUUCCUAGACAGAAAAAGAUCCAGUGGUUCCAAAUCGAUCCCGGUGGGAAGUCAUCGAGUGAUGCCGGUUCUUCGAGUACCAGAGCAAUGCAACUCGUAGGACAACUAACAGUAACAUCGGCUGCUAGCACGAGAGGAGGUAACAGUGGACCGGAACGCUGGACCACUCUUACGGUCGGGGAAAUGUUGCCGCUGAAAUUGCCGAUGUGCUUACGAACUCGAAGAUCUUAACGUAGGGUUAGGCGAUGGUGAGCAACGGUCUAUAUCUAGGUGAGCGAUAGCGAAUAAGAAGAGUUAACGCACAAGAAUAGUAGGCGAGUAAUUUGAUAUUCUGUUUAAUCUCAGUUAAAGCCGACUUAUUCUGAGAUGUCCAAUCAGGAUAGUGCAUUUGAAUUGUAGAAAAGUCAGUGAAAAGAAUUCAUGAGUAAGUUGGUGGGCGUAAACUGCAGGAGGAAAAAUUAAGAAUUAUUUGUUACAGUUUCGCAACGCACCAAAUUGCUGCUCUAAGUUGGGAAUGAAGUUGGGUUAGGAAACCUAUUUUCUUUUAGCAAUUAAGAUCACUAAAAUGAACGGUGUUUCUUGUUCGCUGAAAAGACGGCAAAUCCAGCCCUCCCCCAACGUCAACAGGCUUAGAUUACAGUAAUGAUAUUAGUGGUACAUUAAGGAAAAGUAUAUUUUAAAGGAAAAAACAAAGUUUGUUACAGCAGUAUCAAUUGGUAAAAAAAGAGUGGAAAAGCUUUGAGAGAUAAGAAAAUCAAAUGUUAAUAAAAUCAAAAUCAA